AUGCAACGCGAAGAACCUUACCCAGCUCUUGACAUCCUGCGAAUUUUCUAGAGAUAGAUUGGUGCCUUCGGGAACGCAGUGCCAGGUGGUGCAUGGCUGUCGUCAGCUCGUGUCGUGAGAUGUUGGGUUAAGUCCCGCAACGAGCGCAACCCUUAUUUUUAGUUGCUAAUUUAUUUUAGGUUUUCUAGAAAGACUGCCGGUGACAAACCGGAGGAAGGUGAGGAUGACGUCAAGUCAGCAUGCCCCUUAUGCCUUGGGCUACACACGUGCUACAAUGGUUAAGACAAAGAGCCGCGAGCUCGUGAGAGUCAGCUAAUCUCAUAAACUUAGCCUAAGUUCGGAUUGUAGGCUGCAACUCGCCUGCAUGAAGUCGGAAUCGCUAGUAAUCGCUGGUCAGCCAUACCUCGGUGAAUCCGUUCCCGGGCCUUGUACACACCGCCCGUCACA
rnacentral:rRNA from 1 species